UGUAAGGGGUGUAAACAUCCUACACUCUCAGCUGUGACAACAGGGAGCUGGGAGAGGGGUGUUUACGCUCUUUGCCACAGAA
rnacentral:pre_miRNA from 1 species